ACAAACGGAACCCCAAGUAAGCAGCCAUCACCCAACCACCACGGCCAUGGAUUGUAUCAGGGGCCCUUGGCCCUCAUCGGUGUCAAUGGAUUACACCCUGAACUGAAGCAAGAAUGGCAGAGGAGAAGCCCACUGGAUGAAUGGUUUUAAUACUGUCUGAUGACAAUAAAGCCAGAGAUGCUGGAGUGAGUGGAGAGAUGGAUCAACAACGUCAAGAGUAUUGACUGCUUUGCCAGAGGACCCAGGGUCAAUUCCCAGCAUCUACUUGGCCCUCAUUGAGAUCAAAACGUCUAGGUGUCCGAAGCCUGUUGCAAUGCUGAAGAUCUCACAGUGACUUCAAAAACUAGUUUAAGUUGGUACCAGGAUUGGUUCUAGAGGAACAGAAGUAUAAGAAUGAAUCUUUUAAAAAUACUGGGGCUAUUGAUGCUGGUUAGCUGGAGCUAAGAAAUUAGCGGUGAUUAAGAAGAGACCACCAUCAUUGAGGUGACAUCUUCUGGGAAGUGUUUUCUGAGAGCACAGAGGCUGUGUUCCAGAGAUAGCCAAGGUUGUACCUUGUGCUGUGGCUCAACUUGGAAAUGUGUAAGAGUUACCCAGGUGGUACUGGUUUUGAAGGCAUGAAGGGGUCACGCUGAGGCUCGGCACUGUGAGAGGCCAUGGAAGGCCAUUGGUGAAGGUGCAGCCUCAGUUGCAAUCGAUGGCCCAGGACUGAGGGGGUCAUGCAAAGGAGCUGAGACUUGACACCAUGAAGAGAGCCUAUGAGAGGCUAUUGUUGAGGCCAAGUUACAGUGGAAGACAGCAGUGGUUUGGAGAUGCCAGUACCAUGAGAUGACCACUAAGAACAGAAGCAGCAGUGGAGUACAGCUGGAGCCUAGAAGACAAGGUGUGUGCUACAAAGGGCAUGGCUGGAGAAGUGACCCAAGCCCUUGGAGGAGCCCAGAAGAUUGUGAGUUUGAUCCCAGACAUUGGACAGUUGGAGUUUAAUUAUUGCUUUUGAUUGUGACUGUGCCCUGAUAUUUUUCCCUCUUGAAGGAAGAAAAUAUUUUAGUGGAUCCCACAGGUAAGAUACUUUUAAUUGUAAAAAGACCUUGGAUUUUAAAAGAUAUUGGAUAUUUUUAAAGGAUUGAAUUUUUAAUAUGUAAAGACUGUGGGACUUUUAAAGUUAUUCAAGAUCUUGGAGAUGAAUAAGAACUAAGGGUUGAGGCUUACUAGUGAUGUGUUUGUUUGUCAAGUUGACAAGGGAUCAAUUAUACUGGCUGGUUUUAUGCGUCAACUUGACACAGCUGGAGUUAUCACAGAGAAAGGAGCUUCAGUUGGGGAAGUGCCUACAUGAGAUCCAACUGUGGGGUAUUUUCUCAAUUAGUGAUCAAGGGGGAAAGGUCCCUUGUGGGUGGGACCAUCUUUGGGCUGGUACUCUUGGUUCUAUAAGAGAGCAGGCUGAGCAAGCCAGGGGAAGCAAGCCAGUAAAGAACAUCCCUCCAUGGCCUCUGCAUCAGCUCCUGCUUCCUGACCUGCUUGAGUUCCAGUCCUGACUUCCUUUGGUGAUGAACAGCAGUAUGGAAGUGUAAGCUGAAUAAACCCUUUCCUCCCCAA
rnacentral:lncRNA from 1 species